rnacentral:rRNA from 1 species
CAGAUUGAACGCUGGCGGCAUGCCUUACACAUGCAAGUCGAACGGUAACAGGUCUUCGGAUGCUGACGAGUGGCGAACGGGUGAGUAAUACAUCGGAACGUGCCCAGUAAUGGGGGAUAGCUCGGCGAAAGCCGGAUUAAUACCGCAUACGCCCUGAGGGGGAAAGUGGGGGACCGCAAGGCCUCACGUUAUUGGAGCGGCCGAUGGCUGAUUAGCUAGUUGGUAGGGUAAAGGCCUACCAAGGCGACGAUCAGUAGCUGGUCUGAGAGGACGAUCAGCCACACUGGGACUGAGACACGGCCCAGACUCCUACGGGAGGCAGCAGUGGGGAAUUUUGGACAAUGGGGGAAACCCUGAUCCAGCAAUGCCGCGUGUGCGAAGAAGGCCUUCGGGUUGUAAAGCACUUUUGUCAGGGAAGAAAUCCUUUGGGCUAAUACCCUAGGGGGAUGACGGUACCUGAAGAAUAAGCACCGGCUAACUACGUGCCAGCAGCCGCGGUAAUACGUAGGGUGCAAGCGUUAAUCGGAAUUACUGGGCGUAAAGCGUGCGCAGGCGGUUGUGUAAGACAGGUGUGAAAUCCCCGGGCUUAACCUGGGAAUUGCAUUUGUGACUGCACGACUAGAGUGUGUCAGAGGGGGGUGGAACUCCACGUGUAGCAGUGAAAUGCGUAGAUAUGUGGAGGAACACCAAUGGCGAANGCAGCCCCCUGGGAUAACACUGACGCUCAUGCACGAAAGCGUGGGGAGCAAACAGGAUUAGAUACCCUG